GUCAGCUAGUAAGGAAGACGCUAAGUGCUAAAAGAGCGGCUUUCAUUGGCCCAUCAUAAGUUUUUUAAAUGAACCCCUACUUGUGAUUCGUCCAAAGUAGACCAAAGCCGGGGUGAAGGGGACAGAGAGCGCGGGGUGAGCCCCGGUGAGGAACCGGAGAGCCAGGAUGUCUGGCAUGGUGCUGGGAGUGGGUGCUGGCGUGUUCCUCCUCGCUCUGAUCUGGGUGUUGGUGCUGCUGCUGUGUGCGCUGUUAUCCAGAGCCUCUGGGAUAGCUAGGUUCUCCAUCGUCUUUGUCUUCCUUGGUGCUCUGAUCAUUACUACAGUUCUAUUGCUUUUCCCUCGAGCCAGUGAAUUCCCAGCCCCACAAGGCGAAAUGAAGAUUGUGGAUGCCUUUUUCAUCGGCCGCUACGUCCUGCUGGCUUUCCUCAGCGCUGUCUUUCUUGGAGGCCUCUUCCUGCUUCUUACUCAUCAUGUGCUGGAGCCAAUCUAUGCCAAACCACUGAGGUCCUGCUGAGCACGGUAACUGGAAACACCGGAAACACCGGACAUGUUGACAUCGUGGAUGAGCGCAAAGGCGCUUGAUCUCUGGAGCCUUGACCACCUUCAUGUCUUCAGACCAGAGGAAUAGCCAUUUGUCGCUAAGGCAAACCUCCUGAGCCCAGAAACUCAGUAGCAAAGCAGAGUCCAUGGAUGUAAAUUGUCCCCAUCAAGACAGAACAAUCCUGACGGUUAAGGCUUCACACGGCAGCCGGUUGGCAAACCCAGAUGUGGCAGAAGCCAGUCACUCUCACAAUAGGAGAAAACCUUCUACACCAGUGAUUCCCAACCCUUCUGAUGCUGCAACCCUUUAAUCCAGCUCCUCCUGUUGUGAUGUUGGCCGGAACCUAAGCAUGCUUUUUGUGAUAGUUUGGGCUUCCUUACUCUUCCUCUGGAGCCACUGGCCUCCCCGCCAUGUGGUGCCAGCUGCCAGUCCUGGAUGAAUGCUGGUACCACGAAGUUUUUUCCUUCUGCGUUCGUUUUCUUCCUCCAGGGAACUCCUGAGAUCAACAGCUUGCCUGUUCUGGAGGUGUUCUUUUAAAUUCUAAUAAAAUUGUUCUUGAGCUUAAAAAGAAAAACUUAGAAAAGCAGGGCUAAAAAGAUGGAUGACUUGGUGGCAGGCUAGGUCAGCAGUACCCUCGCAGCUCCAUUACGGUAGAAUAUUUGUCCAGUCGGUUGAGCGAUACCGUGUAAUAUUUUAGAAAUGUCUCAGACCAGCCAAGCAUAUUGAGUAAUAUUUUGAUAAGCAACUUAAAAUUUUCUCACUGGUAAAUGGGAAGAAAAAACUCGAUUCUUUUCUGAUCAGGAGUUUCAGAUAAUUAAUGUUAAAAUGCACCAGAGGAAUUGUGUCGGUGCACAGGCACUGAGAGCACAGCAUUCCCUCCGUGUAAACCACGCAGCUGCACUUCAGCACCGAUGUGUGCCCAGCCCCAGCGGAUGUGUGCUGGUGGGGUGAGGCAAUGGAGGGGGUCAGGGUGGAGGCACCCCAGGGAUUCCAAGUGUGUUUAUUCUAAUACAGUGGUGGGUUUCCUGUUCUUCAAGACCUAACCUUUCCUGUCAACUCAAUUCCGUCGCUGAAGAAGCUAGGUGUUCCUAUUUGAUUCCCAACGUGUAAAGAAAUGUGCUGUUAUUUCAGAGAUGGGAAACAGGCCAAGGAGAGGGCGGGUUUGAAAGUUCACAGUAGUAGUGACCCUGAGACUUGACGUGCCUGCACUAACUCCUCAUCCACUCAUUUCCAUCGCGUGCCUUAAAGAUCAACUUCUGUUUUCAAACAACGCCUUAGCUUCCCAUUGGUUAGCUGUUUGCACCCACCGUUUCCCUCACAUCUAUAAAGGCAAAAAUUCUUUAGAGCUACUAACACCGAUAAGAACAAAUGAUAAAUGUGUCAUUCCAGCCUUUGGCUUAACCAGAUGCGAGAAUCAGAUACAGAAAAUAAUCUGGAAACGUGUUGAUUCCCCUGAGUGGAAUGUGACAGUUUAGGACUGGGAAGGACUUUUUAUAGUUGAUAGGACUGACCUUUUAACCCCAACCCCAAGCCUAGAAAUAAGCACUUGUCAUUCACACAGACAUGACAGUCUUUAUUACCUGCAGCAAAGAUGCCAGGUAUUUCUCAAAGCGCACUGUAAGCACGUAUGACGUCAUGUAUCAGAUCUAUUAAGCGGGUCUUGUUACUGUCCCCGCUUGACCCAACUGGGACAGACUGGGGGAAUCAGGAGUCAAGGUUGGAAGUGAGCAAGGUUGGAAGUGGGGCAGUUUGGCUCAGCGUUCAAGUUCCUAACACUUACAUUACACGAUGUGUCUGUAAGGUACAAACAGGAUUAAAGCUUCCCAGC